UGGGGAAUAUUGCACAAUGGGCGAAAGCCUGAUGCAGCAACGCCGCGUGAGUGAUGAAGGCCUUCGGGUUGUAAAGCUCUGUCUUUUGGGACGAUAAUGACGGUACCAAAGGAGGGAGCCACGGCUAACUACGUGCCAGCAGCCGCGGUAAUACGUAGGUGGCAAGCGUUGUCCGGAUUUACUGGGCGUAAAGGAUGCGUAGGCGGAUUUUUAAGUGAGAUGUGAAAACCCUAAGCUUAACUUGGGGACUGCAUUUCAUACUGGAAAUCUAGAGUGCGGGAGAGGAGAAUGGAAUUCCUAGUGUAGCGGUGAAAUGCGUAGAGAUUAGGAAGAACACCAGUGGCGAAGGCGAUUCUCUGGACCGUAACUGACGCUGAGGCAUGAAAGCGUGGGUAGCAAACAGGAUUAGAUACCCUGGUAGUCCACGCCGUAAACGAUGAGUACUAGGUGUAGGAGGUAUCGACCCCUUCUGUGCCGCAGUUAACACAAUAAGUACUCCGCCUGGGAAGUACGAUCGCAAGAUUAAAACUCAAAGGAAUUGACGGGGUCAUAGCUGUUUCCU
rnacentral:rRNA from 1 species